rnacentral:rRNA from 1 species
UGGUAGUGACGAAAAAUAACAAUGCGGGACUCUUACGAGUCUGCGUAAUUGGAAUGAGUACACUUUAAAUCCUUUAGCAACAAUCAAUUGGAGGGCAAGUCUGGUGCCAGCAGCCGCGGUAAUUCCAGCUCCAAUAGCGUAUAUUAAAGUUGUUGCGGUUAAAAAGCUCGUAGUUCGAGCUCAUUUUCGGACUGGGGUGGCAGGUCACCGCCCGGUGCUUUCCCCCUAGUCUCCGAAGAGAGUUUCCUUGAUUGGAAACGCAAAGCCGGUUCGGGCGGGGUGCUCUUUACCGAGUGUCCCGUGCGGCCGGCCAGUUUACCUUGAAUAAAUGAGAGUGCUCAAAGCAGGCUACUCUAGAAUACAAUGCCCGAAUGUUAACUGCAUGGAAUAAUGGAAGAUGAUCUGGGUUCCAUUUUGUUGGUGGUGGGAGCCCCAGUUAAUGAUAAAGAGAGACUGUCGGGGGCAUCCGUACUACGACGCGAGAGGUGAAAUUCAGUGACCGUCGUAGGACGAACAACAGCGAAAGCAUUUGCCAAGAAUGUCUUCGUUGAUCAAGAACGAAAGUUAGAGGAUCGAAGGCGAUCAGAUACCGCCCUAGUUCUAACCCUAAACGAUGCUGACUAGCAAUUCGCCGUCGUUAUUCCCAUGACGUGGCGAGACGCCCCCGGGAAACCUCAAGUGUUUGAGUUCCGGGGGUAGUAUGGUUGCAAAAGUGAAACUUAAAGGAAUUGACGGAAGGGCACCACCAGGAGUGGAGCCUGCGGCUUAAUUGACUCAACACGGGAAAGCUCACCAGGCCCGGACACCAGAAGGAUUGACAGAUUAAGAGCUCUUUCUCGAUUUGGUGGGUGGUGGUGCAUGGCCGUUCUU